CCUACGGGGGGCAGCAGUAAGGGAUAUUGGUCAAUGGGGGAAACCCUGAACCAGCAACGCCGCGUGAGGGAAGACGGUUUUCGGAUUGUAAACCUCUGUCCUCUGUGAAGAUGAUGACGGUAGCAGAGGAGGAAGCUCCGGCUAACUACGUGCCAGCAGCCGCGGUAAUACGUAGGGAGCGAGCGUUGUCCGGAUUUACUGGGUGUAAAGGGUGCGUAGGCGGCUUGGCAAGUCAGUAGUGAAAUCCAUGGGCUUAACCCAUGAACUGCCAUUGAAACUGGCGCUCUUGAGUGGAAGAGAAGUAUGCGGAAUGCGUGGUGUAGCGGUGAAAUGCAUAAAUAUCACGCAGAACCCCGAUUGCGAAGGCAGCAUGCCGGCUUCCGACUGACGCUGAAGCACGAAAGCGUGGGGAUCGAACAGGAUUAGAUACCCGAGUAGUC
rnacentral:rRNA from 1 species